rnacentral:lncRNA from 1 species
GCCUCACCCAUGCCCGAUCCACACCCUAUCAUUCCCUUCCCCUAUACGGAACACUGGGGAGAAGAUGGCACCACCUCAUGCAAAGGUGCUUAGGUCUACAUCGGGCCCUUCGUCGGUGACGAGCACCCAACAGGUAUGCCUACCAGGCCACCCUUCUCUUCCCUUCGUGUUGUGUGAAACCAAGCACAUGAGCCCUGGAGUCCUUUGUAUUCAGAUCUGAUUUUCUACAGUUUUUUAUAUCUAGCGAUUCCAUCAAUAAGGGAUGCCCUCAUCCAAUCCGGUUAGAUCUGAUUUUUUAUUGCAGCUUGAUUAGUUGAUGCACACAAGUGUUCGGGAUAUCCUCGUGAUGUGCCACAUGUGUAUUCGAGAUAGCUAGUUUCCAUUGUUUUUAUAUGAAAUAAAGAAGUACGAGCAUUGUGAAAGGUCGAAAUCCAAACAAAGACAUGAAUAAAAUAAUUAUAUUGUAAGAGAGAGGCAUAUUCACACAUUCAAGAAGCUGAUAUCUCAUUAUUCUUUUUUGAAUAUAUA